rnacentral:tRNA from 1 species
GUCGGGAAAGCUCAUCUGGGAAAGCAAAGGACUGAAAAUC